AGUCGAACGCGUUGGCCCAAUUGAUUGACGGUGCUUGCAUCUGAUUGAUUUUGGUCGCCAACGAGUGGCGGACGGGUGAGUAACACGUAGGUAACCUGCCCAGAAGCGGGGGACAACAUUUGGAAACAGAUGCUAAUACCGCAUAACAGCGUUGUUCGCAUGAACAACACUUAAAAGAUGGCUUCUCGCUAUCACUUCUGGAUGGACCUGCGGUGCAUUAGCUUGUUGGUGGGGUAACGGCCUACCAAGGCGAUGAUGCAUAGCCGAGUUGAGAGACUGAUCGGCCACAAUGGGACUGAGACACGGCCCAUACUCCUACGGGAGGCAGCAGUAGGGAAUCUUCCACAAUGGGCGCAAGCCUGAUGGAGCAACACCGCGUGAGUGAAGAAGGGUUUCGGCUCGUAAAGCUCUGUUGUUAAAGAAGAACACGUAUGAGAGUAACUGUUCAUACGUUGACGGUAUUUAACCAGAAAGUCACGGCUAACUACGUGCCAGCAGCCGCGGUAAUACGUAGGUGGCAAGCGUUAUCCGGAUUUAUUGGGCGUAAAGAGAGUGCAGGCGGUUUUCUAAGUCUGAUGUGAAAGCCUUCGGCUUAACCGGAGAAGUGCAUCGGAAACUGGAUAACUUGAGUGCAGAAGAGGGUAGUGGAACUCCAUGUGUAGCGGUGGAAUGCGUAGAUAUAUGGAAGAACACCAGUGGCGAAGGCGGCUACCUGGUCUGCAACUGACGCUGAGACUCGAAAGCAUGGGUAGCGAACAGGAUUAGAUACCCUGGUAGUCCAUGCCGUAAACGAUGAGUGCUAGGUGUUGGAGGGUUUCCGCCCUUCAGUGCCGGAGCUAACGCAUUAAGCACUCCGCCUGGGGAGUACGACCGCAAGGUUGAAACUCAAAGGAAUUGACGGGGGCCCGCACAAGCGGUGGAGCAUGUGGUUUAAUUCGAAGCUACGCGAAGAACCUUACCAGGUCUUGACAUCUUGCGCCAACCCUAGAGAUAGGGCGUUUCCUUCGGGAACGCAAUGACAGGUGGUGCAUGGUCGUCGUCAGCUCGUGUCGUGAGAUGUUGGGUUAAGUCCCGCAACGAGCGCAACCCUUGUUACUAGUUGCCAGCAUUAAGUUGGGCACUCUAGUGAGACUGCCGGUGACAAACCGGAGGAAGGUGGGGACGACGUCAGAUCAUCAUGCCCCUUAUGACCUGGGCUACACACGUGCUACAAUGGACGGUACAACGAGUCGCGAACUCGCGAGGGCAAGCAAAUCUCUUAAAACCGUUCUCAGUUCGGACUGCAGGCUGCAACUCGCCUGCACGAAGUCGGAAUCGCUAGUAAUCGCGGAUCAGCAUGCCGCGGUGAAUACGUUCCCGGGCCUUGUACACACCGCCCGU
rnacentral:rRNA from 1 species